rnacentral:rRNA from 1 species
GACAGAGGGUGCAAACGUUGUUCGGAAUUACUGGGCGUAAAGCGAGUGUAGGCGGUCUUGAAAGUCGGAUGUGAAAGCCCUGGGCUCAACCCCGGAACUGCAUCCGAUACUGCCAUGCUAGAGGAUUGGAGAGGUAGCUGGAAUUCUUGGUGUAGCAGUGAAAUGCGUAGAGAUCAAGAGGAACACUCGUGGCGAAAGCGAGCUACUGGACAAUUCCUGACGCUGAGGCUCGAAGGCUAGGGUAGCGAAAGGG